CAGCCGCUUCCUCCUGUGGAUCAGACGGAGGGAGAGAGAGGGGGGAGGAAGGACGCAGAAUGGCGAACGUGCAGUGCUCCAAAUGCACGGCCGAAAGAAGAGGGUUUCGGCGGGAACUUGAUUCUUGGCGACACAAAUUGAUACACUGCGUUGGGUUUGAAAGCAUUCUGGAGGGAAUCUAUGGCCCACUGCUGCUGAAGGACCUCAAUUUAUUUGAUGACUGCGAACCUCAAGAGUUGGAUGACUGGUCCCUAGAAACAAAUUGCGCUCAAUGUUCAUUCUGCAACCUUCCCCUUGACAAACUCAGCAGUGAUCAUGCACCUGCAGCCACCUCGCCCCUCUCCUCCCCCUCUGAUUACUCUCCCUGCCAGGCUCCAAACAUCUCUGAGAGCAGCCAAUCAGCACACAAGUUUCUCCAUGCUGUGUUUUACAAGAAAGAUGUGGCACUGGGCUGCGAUUUCAAAAUCCCUCUGGUUGCCCAGGAGCUAAUGAAGAAGAUGAUACAUCAGUUUGCCUUGGAGUACGCAUCCAAGUGCCUACAACACACCAGUACAAAUGGUACUACAACAAGGACCUCAUCACCUCUGUCACAAACAUCAGAUGCCCCUCUGGACCUCACAAUGAGCCGAACUGGAAACGAGAAAGAAAGUGAAAGUGAAAGUGACCCAGAUGCCGUGCUCGACCUCUCCAACAGGAACUCUGCUUCGUCAACAUCAAUAAAAGGAAAAGCUUCAGGCUUCCUGUUGUCGUCAUCAAAGGAAGAAUUGGGAGAUCUGGGACAGCGAGGGACUCGGCUCCGUCAGAGCUCUGCGUUAGGUGCUGUUCUCAGCUUGCUCUGCUCAGCACAUCGUUCCUUACUCUACCACAUCCUGAAGCUGGCAUGCCAGGAAAAAAUGCUGUUGUUUCUUAAUCACAGAGCUGAAGGUCAAACGGAAUCUCACUCCUCUUACUGUAGUGUAAGCCAACAGGAUAUUGUUACCCCUAAUGCAGUCCCAUUUAGUGAAUGUAAAGCCCAUAACAGCAACUUAUUCUGCCCCUCAAUUGACUUUGAUCAUCAAGAUCUUGGCAGCGCAAUGUAUCAUCCAGGAGACUCCACGUCCAAAUGCAGCAUCCAUCACUUCUCUUUAACAGACUGUAAAAGUGACACUCCUCUGGGCUCAAGCUACAGCUGUGUGCAGAGGUGCAGGAGGGAAACCUACACCGCUAUGUGCCCCAAGAGGCUGCACUGCAUUUCCGGCCAAAGCCUGGCUGUAGGUCAUAUAAACAACCUAGUGUGUUCAUUUACAUCCUCUCCUUCGUUAUCCCAAUCCCCUUCAGUUUGCACCCCCUCCUCUAGUUUAUGCCCUUCUUCAUCGAUUUGCUGUAACCAACACAACCCCCACUCUUGUCCCUGCUAUUCAAACCAUGCCUGUCUGACGCAGGUCAGGAACUCAAUAGAAAAAGGGAUGGGAGAUGGAGAUCCUCCUUGUCCUGUCCUGAAGAGAGAGCAGAGCCCCUCUCCUCCUCCACUGUCCCCUAUGCCCUCAGACAUGGAUACAAAAACUGAUGAAAAGCCACCCUCUCUUCUUCACCAUAGACAAGAGAAGGAAACUGACCUAAUUGUUAAAGAUGGCAUGGUGAAUGAACGCCAACAGGAAGCAGGUGUGGAUACAGCUACAGAAAUGGAGCGAUACUGUAGCACCCCAAGCAGUAUACAUUCUGAGCAAAACCGAAGUGGGACUUCACUGCAAGAUGUUGUGAAUCGGUUCAGUGAGAAACUGGAGACAAUCGGACCUAUAGAGAAGGAUAUACCUCUGGUAUUCACAGCCGUUAAUGUCUCUAUAAAGGAGCGGCCACAGUGUCCCUCGACAAGUCAGAACCUGCAGUUUCAGGCUGAUGCCCAUUUGACUGAAAUUAUCACAACAGUGCUUCACACAGGCAGUGCUAGUGACUACAAUCUCAGUGAGCUGUUCAAUCGCCAUGACAGCAAAGAGCCCAAGUCACCUAAUACUCGCUCACGACGACGCCAAGAAGUCCUUGCUGCUAUAGCAACACCUGCUGAUGAUGCUUCAACCAGAAGGCAAACCUUAAAAAUUAAACGAGAGCUUGCACUGUUUGACCUGUCUUACAGUAGAAGGAAGGCGCGACAAGCAAAGAGGCAAAGAUUGAAUGAUGGAGAUGUUGCUGCAAAUACAUUACACACUUUAUCAGAUUCAAACCUAGUUAAAGAGGAUUCUCAAAACGAAAUGGAGCUAGGUGUUGAACCUGCAGAGAACCAUAGUUUUAGGGAGGGACCACUGGACAUUAUCAUUGCAAAAAGUGACAAUGAAAUAAAAGAGGAGAGAAAAGCAUAUAUAGUAACAGAAGGAGUUCAGAUAAUUCAAGCAGAGGAGAAAGAAAGGGAAAUAUCCUUUGGGGGGAAAUAUCUUACCCACUCAGGCACUUUACCUACCCCUGAGCUACUGAGUACAUUUGGCAUACAAGGCUUGAAGGGGGACAGUGUACAGACAAAGAAGAUGGCAAUGACUGCAACCUCGGCAAAACGGUGCAGCAGGCCCGAUGGUAUGGGUACUGAUGCUGUAAAGGAAAUGAACAGUGAUAACGAAGCCUCCUCAGGUCAAAGCACUGAUUGUGACAAUAGACAAGGCAUAGGUAAAGAUUACCAUAAUCCAAAUGGAAAUAGGCAGAAAGGUCCGUCACACCACUCCAAGGACUCAGGGCGAACCAGGAGACAUAUAGUGCCUCCACAGCGUUUCUCCUCUUAUGUCACAGAGCCCAGGAAGAUGUUUUAUGUUUCAUGUUUCUCUGAAAACACCUCCAACCAGGAAACUGAAAUGGACAACGUUUUGACAUCUAGCACAGUAGAUGCCUUAUCCAAAGUUCCAGACGCUGAGGGCUCUAAACUGGAAUCAAUAAGGGAAGCCCUUUUGUCUUCAUCUCAAUCGCCAGAGAGAGAUGAGUAUGAAACAACCUACACAGAAUCGAAAGGUUUUUCCACAAAUCAGGUCACUCCACAGGUCCCUGUUGCUGCCAAAGCAAAGAGUCAAACAAAGCAAAGCAUGGACAAUGAAACAGAUGGCAGCCACUCUGAUGACAAGCUUUUUAGAAGGCUGCGGUCAUCUCCAAAAAGAAUGCAGUACUCAAAGACAGCUUCAAGCACUCUCCAAAACCCAUCAAAUAUGGAUGUCCCAAUGAAGUCUGCUAUCUGUUUUGAAAGCCCUCCCAACUCCCAAGUCCAGUACACUAGUCCAAUAAAGCUUAUGUUUGUAUCACCAGUAAAGUAUAAGGAAGGGGUCAGAUAUAGUCUUAAAUCUGCAUCUUCUGGUUCUAGUGAACAGGAACCCUUUGACCCCUGUAUAGUGUCUUCAUGGUCAGGAACAAAAAGUCAGACAACUGAGUUGUGUACUUCACCAGUAAAGUCUCUUUCUUCAACACCGAAAUCUGCAACUUCUCCUGCAAAAUCUGCUUCAUCAACACUUAGGUCAGGUCCUUCACCAGUCAAAUCCUCUUCUUCACCCAAGUUAGCUUCUUUAUCACCAAAGUCGUCAUCUUGCCCCAAGUCUGCUUCUUCACCAGCCAAGUCUGGUUCUUCACCACUCAAGUCAGCAUCUUCACCAUCCAAGUCUGGUUCUUCACCAACCAAGUCAGCGUCUUCACCAUCCAAGUCUGGUUCUUCACCACUCAAGUCAGCAUCUUCACCCAAGUCUGCUUCAUCGUCACCUAAAAUAGGUUCCAGGCGAUCAUGCGAAGGCACUCCGACUAAGCAUGUGGAUGUAGCUGAAAGCCAGAGAUCACCAGGUGGCUCAAUGUCUUUCCAUGAAACCACUCCAAAAAGGCGUCCAGGCCGGCCAAAGAAGCUGGGGCCACAACUUGAGCAAAAGGCAAAGAGGCCAAUCGGUCGACCACGCAAGGAGAAGGCUGUGGAUUCAGUACUGGGGGGAAAAACAGUAAAUGGAAAAUCUUUUACAGCAUACGAGGCUGAGGAAAAUGUAAACAAGAACUUAAAAAUAACAGUCGUGUUUGGCCGUUCUAGGAGAAACAAACGAACUGUGGCCGAGGGAUUUGACCAGCUGCAAACAGAAUUCCAUGAUGCUUGUCAAGCAGUUGGCCUUAAAAGUGAUUUGAGUAUUUUAGUGCACAACUCUGAGACCAAUUCAAGUAGCAUCAAAAGAGCAGCAUCAGAAUUGUCAGAUGAAUUCAGUUUUGUCAGUCCUCUUAAAGAGUCUGCCCCUCAAUCUAGCAGUACCAUCAAAUGUCAGAAACGGGAUGACUCUGCACCCUCAAGGAAACCAGGUAGACCUGCAAAAGUUAAAAUCUCUGGAAUCUCAGUCACAGUAACUACAGUGUCUCCUCGUCAUCGUAAAAUUCUGAUAAAUAAGGAUACUCGGCAGUCUCCUGAAACACUAAAUCCUAAGAAAGUACUGCUACCAGAAUUCAAAUCUGCCAAUGAGCCCCGGACAAUCAGUCGACAGUCAUCUAGCAAAAUCAGUCAAAUUGAAGAAGGGAUUGAAAUAGAGGAUGAAAAUAAAGACAAAUUGCCAAAGCAGCCUGUUGCAGUGCGUCACUCAAUGAGAGUGAGAAAGCCUUCAAUCCACUUUCUGCACGCUGUUGCCACCUCUAGAUCAUACAGCCACAGCAAUGCUCUGCUACGGCGCUCCAAACAACUUCUGCUAAACAAGGCCAGCAAUGAAAGGAGACAGGGGGAGCAACCGAGUAGUGUGGAGACUUUAAGGGAGAGAAGACGGCCCUGUGAACAAGAGAAGAAUCACAUAUCUCAGGACCUGGCAGAGUGGCCGGAGUAGUAUCUGUAGAUUCAAUCUUACCCCAAGGGAGACGCUAAGGUGGUGGACACCAUCAGCAGAAGAAAAUACUAUGAGUGAGGAGCUUGCCAGGCGAAUACGAGUCAUCUCUGACACUUGGGUCUCAAACACUGGGGAGAACCAAGUAAAAGAGACUGCUUUUAAAUCGAAACAAGGCACGAGUUCAUUUGCCAGGAGGUCCAAACAUUCCUCUGUGGUACGAACCCUGUUUGACUGUCCUCCUGAAGAACCAAGGUCCUGUAGUAUGCAGCAGGUCUGUUCCUGGUUUAUGAAAACCACAGAGACACAGUCCCUUUCUAUUGUCAAGAAGGCAAGCUCACGUAAUUCUUACGAAAUGAUGCAUUUUCCUCGUACUAUCAAUAAAGAGAGUGUUUGCACCAGUCCUCAGGCCCAGCGACUGCGCAAACACAUCAAGAAAUUUGCCAAAACUGUGCCAAAAAGUCCUUUGCAACAUCAACAAGCUCAAAGGAGAUUGAGGAAGAGAAAUGAGAAGAUAAGGCGACAACUUUUUGCCACAGGUCGGCUCAAUCAAAGAGCCCAAUGGUGGAGAAGCAGAUCAUUUGGAAAAUAUCUGACCACUCUAUUUAGAGCAAAGAUAAAGUUCCUAACCCGAAAAGAAAGGGAGAGGUGUCAAAAGAAGCACAGGAGUAAGAAAAACAUAAAUGUAGCUACACGUUCAAAUGGACAGAAAGUAACUGGACUACUACCAAAACGUAAAGCAUUACGUAGAUCAGCAAGAGGUCAGUUAUCUGACUGUUUGGAAAACGGUUCUGUUAACCAAACGCAGGAGCCUGCGGAGGUACCUAAAGAGCACAACAUCUGCUCCAAAGCCUGGAGUCCUGAGACACUGAAGGAAUGCAGAGUGUUUCUGAGGAAGAUUAACUCUCCGGACAAUGAAUCAACUGAGGAAGAGUGGGACUCCUGUACUGUGACACUGGAUGAUGGGUCACCUUCGGCAUACCUCUUAGCAGGAAGGAAGAAAGAACUUGUAGGAGUUGUUAAAGCUGUGAAAACUGAAAGAAAAAGGAGUACCAUCUCAAGAGAGCAAGCCGGUUCUGCACCGAAAUCAGUGCAGGAUGAGGUGCCAGAGAGGAGGAGGAAUGGCAAAUACAAAAGUCCUUUGGUUGCUUCUGCUGAACCACCGCAACCACCACCAGCGAAAAUGUUGAGACAAUCGCGAGUGAGAGGCCUUACCGGGCCGAGAUGGUGCGACUUUGUUUUUGAAAACUAAUUGAAGCAUGAUGCCUCCUCCUCCGACCUGGGGAAGGGACUGUUGCUUAACGUGGUGCCUUUGGACAUUGAGCUGACCACAAGGACUGACCAAUCCCGCUAUGAUUCAGUCUUACACUCAGCAAUUAUGUAGCAGUCUAACUUAACAAAAGCUUGAUGUUGCACUAUUUUUAUCUAUGGAUAUGUACAGAAAUGUUAAUUUUUUUUAUUGCAUUUUUCUUUCUGAGCGCGUAUAGUAGAUCAAAUCAUUACGGUGAAGAGAGUUUUUGGGGAUAUGUGCUUAAAACAGUGAGCCAUGUCAGAGUAGCUGUAAUUAAAGGAAAGGCUUGAGAUCAUGCCGAUAGUGCCAUCUCCCCCAAAACAUACCUCAUUAUCAACGCCACCACUUAUUCUAGACAAUGCCCUUACGAAUGUACAGCCCUAAAACCCCCCCAAAAUUAAUUUAAUAUGUUUUUGUAUUUAUAGUCACCCUUACUUUGGCACUGUUAAAAUAAAAUGCUAAUUUAAUAUAAUACGUUUUUUUGAUUUUGGUAAACGUAUGUUGAAAACUAAUUUUAUUUUCCUAAUCCGAGCCCUGUUUGCAAUAUGUUUGUUGAUGCUUCUGUCGCUGUUGUAUUGCAAGCCAGUAGCCAAAAUGUAGUGUGAAUGAAGGACUCUUUAAAGAAGCACCAUUUUUACCCCAAUCAUUCUGUAAACUGGCUCCAACUAUGACAUUGUGUAUUUAACUACAGUAAUUGGCGAUCCAUCUGAAACCAAAUACUAUGUCACUAUUUCUUUGAGUUUAUUUAAAACAAUAUCUUUAAGUCUAAGCAACAAAACGGCCAUUAAUCCCAAUAUACAUGUUUGAGCUGACUAAAUAUACAGCCCCACAAUGUAGUCAUAUGUGAAGAGAUUUAGAAGUGAUUUUAGAGGGAAAGAAGGUAGAUUCUUAUUCAUUUGUUGGUUUGUGGUAUCCGUCUUGUUUUACUCAGUUAUCUUUAUGUGAAUGUCAUCUUGUUUUCACCCAAAGCAGAUACUGUAUGUUAGUGUCGGAUCUACUCCUUGCACUAUUUCAUCUGAGAUUAUUAACCCCACUACACAGAUUCCUCCCCGAUAUUUUGCACAUCCCGUGUCCCACUGCCAAACCCUACUGUAAAACUAGAGGAUCUAUUUGGUGCAAUACAAACCCAGAUGAUUUAUCAAUAUGUAGUAAUUAUUGUAUUGCUGACAGAUGAAUGGAUGUACACAAUUACCAAUGGCCUGGGAUGUUACUUCAGUUACAUAGCCAUGUAAUGUGAUUUUAGAGGAUAUUACAUACUUUAUUUUUUCUCCCACCUGCUUUGUUCUCCUCAUGAAGCUGAAAAAUAACAGAUCCUUAAUUGUUAUAAUAGCAUUAAAUUGUUUAUCAUAAAUGUACUAGCAUUAUUUACUGUUAAUAAGGUGGAAUAUGUGUUGCUGUUGCAUUUUCUCUUGAGUUUCUGUGUUUGCAGCAAGAGACGCCUACCUCCACUGGUGCUCAGCUAAGACUAUUUUGCUUAUCAACUGAGUGAUAGACAUGGCCAGAUUGAUGAUCUGUUAACACUAAUCUUGGAUCAUUAUAGUGUUAAGAGCGCAGGUAGAUCCAAGAUGUCUGGCUGUAGGUCAAAGCUUAAACCUGUAGUGUGUGUGUGUUGUGUCUGACUAUCCUUGUAUGUGCGUCACUGCGGUUGCCCUCUCAACACGAGGGAUGGCCCAGUCUUGUGAUCAGUGCUCUGUUGAAGAACCUGGUGCUAAACAUCUGUUGUAUAUUUUCUUUAUGUGUUUUUAUACUGUCCAUUACAGAUGCAACAAAGAGGUGUCUGUGAUCGGAAUAAUAAAGAGUCUUUCUAAAAAUAA